AGUUAACGCACUGUGCAUGUAUAUGUAUACGAUUUAACAGUGACAUUUUCAACAGAAAGGGCCCCAAACUAUGAUACAAAUAAAUACUUACCGUCUGUCGAUGUUUUUAUACCGACAUGUAUAUAACUGUAUAGUAUAGUACGCCUUGAACGGCUGUGUGCGGUGGUCUAACUUUGCAUGAAAGUCACGAAAUUCUUGUUUAAAAUGCCAAGUAUCCAAAUGUAUUAGACAUAAAGAAUUGUAUAUGUUAUGAUAAACUAACAAAUGGAUAAUUUAUCAGGAAAAUCUUAAUUCAGCUCGGGAUUAUUUUUUCUAUUUUGAAAACCCUUAUUGAAGUACGCUUGUCACCUCAACCAAUCAGUAGCUCAGUCUGAAAAUGCCAAAUGAAAUAAACACAGAAAUGUCACGCUGAAGUUCAAUCGUCUGUUUGUGGAAAUCUAUAGGGAAGAGAAGAUGGUAACUACAAAAGACAGUUAUUAGAACUAAAGCCAGUGAUAUAAGACAAGACAGAUUGACAUGUUUAUUACCAAGAAUAUCUUGCAAGUUGGAGAUGAGGCAAAACAGAAGAACUUUAUUCAUAAUUCAGAGACUAAAAGAUUUAGUUGAUGAACUGUCAUGCAGUGAAAGUCAUCAAAAUAUCUGAGGAGAAAACAACUCUCAGCAACAAUCAAAUUGGCUGUAGAAGCUGCACACUGUAUAACAAAGAUAUUUUACUGCACUUUGUCAACGUAGGUGACACAGUGUAUUGAGUACUGACAGGUUCUUAUGUUCAGUAUCUUUCAAAAAGUAAGUACAAUGAAAUAAUGAUAAUUCUUUUCAUUAGCUUUAAUAUUU